CGGCAACGGAUAUCUCGGCUCCCGCAUCGAUGAAGAACGUAGCGAAAUGCGAUACUUGGUGUGAAUUGCAGAAUCCCGUGAACCAUCGAGUCUUUGAACGCAAGUUGCGCCCGAAGCCAUCAGGCCGAGGGCACGCCUGCCUGGGCGUCACACGCCGUUGCCCCC
rnacentral:rRNA from 1 species